ACUUUAUUGUUGUUCCUCUCCCAUCCUUCUUUUAGUUGGCUAAUUGCAAUUCUGGCCCAACUCAACCCUCUCUUUGGACCACAGUUGAAAAACGAAACCAUCUGGUAUCUGAAGCAUCAUUGGCCUUGAGGAGGAAGACAUGUUCUACAGCGCUCAGUCUUUGAGGUCACAAGAAGAAAAUGCCUUCUAGAUGCAAAAUCACCUCCAAACCAGACCACCUUUCUUGACUUGCCUACUUUGGGCAUCAGCUGCCUUAAACGUUAACACCACAUUUGAAUGCCUUAUUCUACAAUCCAGUGUGUUUUCCUUCACCUUUUUUACACUUUGGUGAAUUAUGUGCCUACUUAACUUGAACUGUGUCGACUCCACAAAAUGAUUAUGCACUUUUCUGAGACAAAAGAUGCUGUUCUUCUGAGAGAUCCAUUACUCUCUCCUUGGAAUCUGUGGAUUUGAAGAUGGCUCCUGCCUUCUCAUAUGGGAAUCAGUGAAGUGUUUAGAAACUGCUGCAAGACAAACAAGCCUCCAGUGGGGUGGUCAGUAGGAGAGCACGUUCAGAGGGAAGAGCCUUCUCGACAGAAUCACACCAGACUCUGUUUUCAGGAUGAAUUUCUUAUUUCUGCCAUCUUUUGGAAUAAAUAUUUUUUCCCUUUCUAUGGAAAUCUGA